CUUUUGCUGGCGACCGGCGCACGGGUGAGUAACACGUAUCCAACCUGCCCUUUACUCGGGGAUAGCCUUUCGACAGAAAGAUUAAUACCCGAUAGCAUAAUGAUUCCGCAUGGUUUCAUUAUUAAAGGAUUCCGGUAAAGGAUGGGGAUGCGUUCCAUUAGGUUGUUGGUGAGGUAACGGCUCACCAAGCCUUCGAUGGAUAGGGGUUCUGAGAGGAAGGUCCCCCACAUUGGAACUGAGACACGGUCCAA
rnacentral:rRNA from 1 species